rnacentral:rRNA from 1 species
GACGAACGCUGGCGGCGUGCCUAAUACAUGCAAGUAGAACGCUGAAGGAGGAGCUUGCUUCUCUGGAUGAGUUGCGAACGGGUGAGUAACGCGUAGGUAACCUGCCUGGUAGCGGGGGAUAACUAUUGGAAACGAUAGCUAAUACCGCAUAAGAGUAGAUGUCGCAUGACAUUUGCUUAAAAGGUGCAAUUGCAUCACUACCAGAUGGACCUGCGUUGUAUUAGCUAGUUGGUGAGGUAACGGCUCACCAAGGCAGCGAUACAUAGCCGACCUGAGAGGGUGAUCGGCCACACUGGGACUGAGACACGGCCCAGACUCCUACGGGAGGCAGCAGUAGGGAAUCUUCGGCAAUGGACGGAAGUCUGACCGAGCAACGCCGCGUGAGUGAAGAAGGGUUUCGGAUCGUAAAGCUCUGUUGUAAGAGAAGAACGAGUGUGAGAGUGGAAAGUUCACACUGUGACGGUAGCUUACCAGAAAGGGACGGCUAACUACGUG